rnacentral:misc_RNA from 1 species
AUAAGGCUUUUCUGCUAACAUAUAGGAAUUUUUGAAGAAAGGAAAGCCAUAAAUACCCAAUAUCUUGUUUCAGCAAGAUAUUGGGUAUUUCUUUGUUUUUUUUUUAUUCUGAAUCUUUCUAUUCUGAAUUCAGUUAACGACGAGAUUUAGUAUCCUUUCUUGAGUUUUCAUAACUCGUGAAAUGCCGAGUAGGCACGAAUUCCCCCAAUUUGCGACCUACCAUAGGAUUUGUUAUGUAAAUAGGUAUAUGUUCCUUUCCAUUAUGAAUCGCGAUUGUAUGGCCAACCAUUGUGGGUAGAAUGCUAGAUGCCCGGGACCACGUUACUAUUGUUUCUUUCUCCUCCUUCAUAUUGACCUUUUCGAUUUUUGCCAAUAAAUGAUGAGCUACAAAAGGAUUCGUUUUUUUUCGUGUCACAGCUGAUUACUCCUUUUUUUCCUUUUUAAAGAGUGGCAUUCUAUGUCCAAUAUCUCGAUCGAAGUAUGGAGGUCAGAAUAAAUAGAAUAAUGAUGAAUGGAAAAAAGAGAAAAAUCCUUUAGCUGGAUAAGGGGCGGAGAGCCAGUCG